GGGGGGGGGGGGGGGGGUCCUCUCCCGGGAAUCUAACCCUCUGGCACCAGUAUUGCCCUUCCGGUUACCCCCUGAGGCUGGGAGACGUGGAGGUGGAAGAGGAGGGAACGGUGCUAGAAGAAUCCGAAUUCGGCAUUUUUGCGGGGCCUUCCAGAGGUUCGCAACCUUUCCGUAGAACUACCUACGCGCCUCGAUCCGACGGUCGGUACGUGGCCUGAGGCCGCCCCCCUGAAGACAGAACCCCCAAAAUCUCCAGUCGGAGGAGGAGUUCUUUAACUGGGGAGGCCUGAACCGUCAACCCCUCCCAUUCCCCUCCCCCCGCAACGACCAGAACCGGGAUCCCCGGCGGGGCGGCCUCCCGGGCCUGUCUUCCCGACGGCGGCUGGGAGCCGCUCCCGGAAUCGGGGUGGGUUUCGUGGGCGGGGAGACGGGCUCGUGUGGGGGCUAGGGAAUCGUGGCACGUGGGUGCGGGCCCCUCCUCGACCUCCGGGGCCAGGCCAGACAUCUCGGCAGCCGGGCCGGGGGUAUCGAAAGCCGUCUCCGGCUCCCGGAGCGGCUCCGUCCGAGGCCCCCGCGCUUACGGCCGAGGCAGACGCGCCGCCUCGUGCGCCUACCUCGCCCCUCGCCGGCCGGCCCGGCCGGACUCCGACGGGCUCGUCGCCCGCCCUCGGGCCCGCUGGACGGGUGCCCGCGGGCCGGGUCGCGGCCCGGGCCUCGGAGGGGGCCGGGCUGUGCCCUCGGAGAUGCCGCCGUGGAGCCCGGAGGGCAUCACGGCCGGUGGUCCCGAGGCCCGGCCCGCGCCCUGGUCCCUUUGCCUCCCCGCGACGCCGGGCUCGGGGAGGGAGUCACCGGGCCCCGAGUGCAGGUUUGGCCAAGCCUGCAGGUCUGCCGGGUGCAGGAUGGCCCGGGGGCCACACGCCUCGGGGCUUUCCCGCCCGCCCCCGCGCCCGGUCCGCGACUCCCCGCCACCACCACCACCGGGACCGUCAGCGGUGAUACGGGGCGAUGUGUGAGCCCACACCGAGACCUGGGCGAGCGGUCACAUCUGCGCGGACUUGGUCGCCCGCCCGGCCACGGAGAUGGUUUCCGACGUUAGAGGGUUUCUUACUAGUCUGGAAGGCUUUUUUCAGAGGUGAUUCCUAGAAGGGCUUUUGUCAGGCAGAUUCUUACGCUAUCAGGUCUUCAGCCAACUACAGAUGUAAAUAUCUAUUUUUAAAAUCCGUGUGAAGUGAGCAUUUCUCCUCUACUCCUUCCGCCCGCCCCCAUGGAGGGGAGCCAGCGUUCUGUUGGGGCGUUGUCCUGUAAUGUCUCUGUACACACCGGAACGAAGCAAGCGAAAACCUUGACGGUCUCCUCCUCUUCUUCCUACAUUCAUAGCCGCAGCCCGAUUUUCCGCUCUCCUUCACCGCCUCUGGUCGGUUUGAGAAGAAGAGUGCCGCCUCCUGGACCCGUGUCCCUUCAGCGCUGUUCUAAGCACGUACGGGCAGAAUGGGGAGACAUGACUCCUGCUCCCGAGGAAGACGCACAUUUAAAAUACAGAUCUGGAAAUACGCGGUGCUGGGGAGAGAGAGGGGUGAAUAUCAAGUGUUUCAAGGGGGACAGAGCCGAGUGUAAGGACGAGGCAGAAGGGAGAGGGAGUAGGGGAGAUGUGAUUUGCCUUCGCCCGUGCCGAAGGCAAGAAACUUCCUUCCCUGGACUAUGGGAUAGGAGCCGGGGGGCGCAUCCCCGGGCCGGGGCUGCUGGUCACCAGAGACGGGGGGCUUGGGACCACCGCUCCAGCUCCCCAUUGCAAGGCUUCCCUCAUCCCGGAACCGAGUUCCGUCUUUCCCACCUUGCCCCCUGGACCUUCUCUUGAUAUCCCUCCUUCCCCGGGGCCCCAGCCCCCACGCCUUUCUUCCCUGCCCCCAGCAGGCUGGUUGGGGCCGGAUCUGCCCGUUUCGGGGGUGGUCUGGGGGGUCCCUCUGCUUCUGGCCCAUUUCCACUCUCCCUUUCUCCUUUUCCCCUCUUCCUGCCUGCCAGAGCUUCUGCAUAUCCUCAGAGGGAUCGCCAGGAACAGCCUGGGGGAGGGCUAACGGUGCCUCGGUGGAGCCAGGAACCUGGGUGACCUCCCCUCGACCCCCCUCCCCCCACACACACAACCGCCAACUUGGUGUUAUCAGCCCUUCUGCCCCUCUGCCCUCCCCUCGCCGACAUCCCUGGAACGCAGGGGCUUCCUCCGUCAGUGCGAUAUCUGCCUUUGCCCGCCCCCCCCCGGUCGCAGGGGGCUGCUUCAGCUCGCACCCUGAUGCCCCGUUUCCCAAAUUUGGGCCCUGUGCCGGAGAGGGAAGGGGAGGAGACCGGGCUCACUCCUCUGCAGACCCUUCAGGACGCAGCUAGCAUCCAGAUCUCCACCUGCUUUUCUGAGCGUGACCACCGCACGACCAUCGUUUCUAAAAUCGGCACGAGGCGCUCUGUCCUCGUCGUCCUCGGGGACGCGGCUCGCAGCCGCGUCCCGGGGAUCCCAGGCCUCCAUUUCGGAGGCAGGGCCUGGGCCGAGGCGGUGAGCCCCGUGGGGGGUGAGCAGGGCUGUUGGCGGCCCUGGAGCGGUUGAGAGUUAGCCGGCUGGGUCAGUCGGACCCCCGCCCUCCCCGACUGCCGUCGUUUACAGUUGGCCCUGGUCCGUUUCCGGAAGUUUGGUCUCCAGCGCUUUCACUGUGAGUGUGCUAACCGGUUCCAGUGGAGCGGGUGGACAUUUUGAGUAGAGACCAUCUGAAACGUUUAAUAAAGUGCAACAGUCGGUUCUCCCGCCCGGCCCCGAA